UACAGAGGGUGCGAGCGUUAAUCGGAAUUACUGGGCGUAAAGCGCACGUAGGCGGCUUGGUAUGUCGGGUGUGAAAUCCCCGGGCUCAACCUGGGAACUGCAUCCGAAACUGCCUUGCUAGAGUAUGGGAGAGGGAAGUGGAAUUUCCGGUGUAGCGGUGAAAUGCGUAGAUAUCGGAAGGAACAUCAGUGGCGAAGGCGACUUCCUGGACUAAUACUGACGCUCAGGUGCGAAAGCGUGGGGAGCAAACAGG
rnacentral:rRNA from 1 species